rnacentral:rRNA from 1 species
ACGGAGGAUGCGAGCGUUAUCCGGAUUUAUUGGGUUUAAAGGGUGCGUAGGUGGACUGUUUAGUCAGUGGUGAAAUGCUGAUGCUCAACGUUAGCAUUGCCGUUGAAACUGACAGUCUUGAGAGUGAUUGAGGCAGGCGGAAUGUGUGGUGGAGGGGAAAAAGAGAAAAAAAUCCCAAAGAACCCAAAUGGCGAGGGCACCUUACAAAGCCACAACUGACACUGAAGCACGAAAGCGUGGGGAUCAAACAG